rnacentral:tRNA from 1 species
GUUGCUUUGGCCGAGUGGUUAAGGCGUGUGCCUGCUAAGUACAUGGGGUUUCCCAUGAGAGUUCGAAUCUCUCAAGCAACG